AUUAUUGAUACAGUUUCUGUACUAUAUUGGUACGCGAAGCUUCCAAAUCCGCGAGUCGCGGUUAUGUUUGGUCAAUUUCUUUUGGCCGGGGUCCACGGACCC
rnacentral:sRNA from 1 species